rnacentral:tRNA from 2 species
AUUUAGGUAGUUUAAUUAUAGAAUAAUAAUUUGUGGUAUUAUAGGUGCUUUUAAGUCUUAAAUU